rnacentral:miRNA from 1 species
AUUGGUUUCUAGAUCUCAGCA